rnacentral:rRNA from 1 species
AUUGAACGCUGGCGGCAGGCCUAAUACAUGCAAGUCGAACGGUAACAUAAAAGAAGCUUGCUUCUGUUGAUGACGAGUGGCGGACGGGUGAGUAAUAUUUGGGAAACUACCUGAUAGAGGGGGACAACAGUUGGAAACGACUGUUAAUACCGCAUAAAGCCUGAGGGUGAAAGCAGCAAUGCGCUAUCAGAUGUGCCCAAACGGGAUUAGCUAGUAGGUGAGGUAAAGGCUCACCUAGGCGACGAUCUCUAGCUGGUCUGAGAGGAUGAUCAGCCACAUUGGGACUGAGACACGGCCCAGACUCCUACGGGAGGCAGCAGUAGGGAAUAUUGCACAAUGGGGGAAACCCUGAUGCAGCAACGCCGCGUGAAGGAUGAAGGUUUUCGGAUCGUAAACUUCUAUCAACAGGGAGAAAAAUGACGGUACCUGAAUAAGAAGCCCCGGCUAACUACGUG